UAAACAGGGAUUAGAUACCCCUCUAUACUUAGAAUAAAAGGCCUUAAGGUAGUAGUUGUUAUAAUCUUGAAACCUAAAGGGUAUGGCGGUAUCUAAUAGGAUCAGAGGAACCUGCCCAGUAACCGAUAAUCCACGGUCUAUCUUACCUACUUUAGGUUUGUAUACCGUCGUCUAAACUCUGCUUAAAGGCGGGGUUGGGAUUAGUGAUAAGGAAGUCAGAUCAAGGCGCAGCUUUUGUAGGUUGAGGUGGGUUACAGUUAAUCUCUUAUUGGAAGUAACACUAACAGUUAUGGAAAGUGGAUUUGAAAGUAAUUUAGGUUUAGUAAGCCUAG
rnacentral:rRNA from 1 species